rnacentral:rRNA from 1 species
AAUCAACGCUGGCGGCGUGCCUCAGACAUGCAAGUCGAACGAUUAAGACUCCCUUCGGGGAGUGCAUAAAGUGGCGCACGGGUGAGUAACACGUAAGUAAUCUACCUUCGAGUGGGGAAUAACGUUCGGAAACGAACGCUAAUACCGCAUAAUGCAGCGGCAUCGCAAGAUGACAGUUGUUAAAGGAGCAAUCCGCUUGAAGAGGAGCUUGCGGCAGAUUAGCUAGUUGGUAAGGUAACGGCUUACCAAGGCUACGAUCUGUAUCCGGCCUGAGAGGGCGGUCGGACACACUGACACUGAAUAACGGGUCAGACUCCUACGGGAGGCAGCAGUCGGGAAUUUUGGGCAAUGGGCGAAAGCCUGACCCAGCAACGCCGCGUGAAGGAUGAAGUAUUUCGGUAUGUAAACUUCGAAAGAAUAGGAAGAAUAAAUGACGGUACUAUUUAUAAGCUCCGGCUAACUACGUGCCAGCAGCCGCCGUAAAAC